rnacentral:misc_RNA from 1 species
UAAUAAGUGUUUUAUGGCACUUUUUAAAUCCAUAUCCACCUUGUGUGCAAUGUCAGUCGAUCUUCUUCAUGGAGAUCGACCAAACAUCAACCUUUAUCUUUUAACUCUUUGUCUGAAAAAUAUUAUGAAUAAACAAUUCAAUAUA